rnacentral:rRNA from 1 species
GCUCAGGAUGAACGCUGGCGGCGUGCUUAACACAUGCAAGUCGAACGAAGCACUUUACCUGAUUUCCUUCGGGGAUGAUUGUUCUGUGACUGAGUGGCGGACGGGUGAGUAACGCGUGGAUAACCUGCCUCACACAGGGGGAUAACAGUUGGAAACGGCUGCUAAUACCGCAUACGCGCACAGCACCGCAUGGUGCAGUGUGAAAAACUCCGGUGGUGUGAGAUGGAUCCGCGUCUGAUUAGCUUGUUGGCGGGGUAACGGCCCACCAAGGCGACGAUCAGUAGCCGGCCUGAGAGGGCGACCGGCCACAUUGGGACUGAGACACGGCCCAGACUCCUACGGGAGGCAGCAGUA